AGUAGUGAUCGUGAAUCAUCGAAUCUUUGAACGCACUUUGCACCUUGUGGCUUUUGUCACAAGGUAUACUUGUUUGAGUAUCCAAAACUACCUCACCUCCCUUUCGGGGCGAGAUGGACUUGAGACUCGAUGCCUAUUGUCACAUGGUGACAGUGUGUCGUUUCUUUAAAGGUGGUGGUCAUCUAUUGUGGAAGGUCUCCGUCUGGAACCUGACAGACUAUUGGGAUAACAUCCUGACGAUCGUUUGUCGGUUCCAUUGUAUAGGCGUUGACUGACCUAGACCAACAAGAUGAAGACAGUCUGUCUCACAGGAUAUGGCUUCACGUCCUUUCUAUUGACAUCACAUGUCAUGUGUGAUGUCGUAUAGAGAUGGACAAGUAUCAAUGGAUCUCAAAUCAAGUAAGGAUACCCGCUGAACUUAAGCAUAUCAAUAAGCGGAGG
rnacentral:rRNA from 1 species